rnacentral:rRNA from 1 species
AGAGUUGAUAUGGCUCAGGAUGAACGCUAGCUACAGGCUAACACAUGCAAGUCGAGGGUAGCAGGGUAGCAAUACCGCUGACGACCGGCGCACGGGUGAGUAACACGUAUCCAACCUUCCCAUAACUCAGGGAUAGCCUUUCGAAAGAAAGAUUAAUACCUGAUAGUACUUUUUCAAGGCAUCUUGAGAAAGUUAAAGAUUUAUUGGUUAUGGAUGGGGAUGCGUUCCAUUAGAUAGUUGGUGAGGUAACGGCUCACCAAGUCUUCGAUGGAUAGGGGUUCUGAGAGGAAGGUCCCCCACAUUGGUACUGAGACAUGGACCAAACUCCUACGGGAGGCAGCAGUGAGGAAUAUUGGUCAAUGGGCGAGAGCCUGAACCAGCCAAGUAGCGUGAAGGAAUGAAGGUCCUAUGGAUUGUAAACUUCUUUUAUAGUAGAAUAAAGUGAUCCACGUGUGGAUUUUUGUAUGUAUACUAUGAAUAAGGAUCGGCUAACUCCGUGCCAGCCGCGGC